AUGCCAUCGCCCCCGAAACAGCAGGAAGCAAUUCUAAGAAAAAAAUUUCAUUUUUCUCAAGGUUAUGGAUUAAACUGAGUAUCUUCAAUAUUGCUUCAUGAGAUUCCAACAAGAUGAACAUCACAGAAGCUACUACAUUUGUUCUCAAGGGACUCACCGACAAUGCUGAACUUCAGAUCAUUCUCUUUUUCCUCUUUCUAGCAAUUUACCUUUUUACUCUAAUAGGGAAUGUAGGGCUAAUUAUUUUAGUCAUUGGAGAUCCUCAUCUCCACAAUCCCAUGUACUGCUUCCUCAGUGUAUUGUCUUCUGUGGAUACCUGCUAUUCCUCAGAUAUCACGCCUAAGAUGUUAGUAGGAUUUAUGUCAAAAAACAAAAUCAUUUCACUUCAUGCCUGUGCAACACAGAUGUUCCUUGCUGUUACAUUUGGAACCACAGAAUGCUUUCUUUUAGCAGCAAUGGCAUAUGAUCGAUAUGUAGCCAUUCACAACCCACUUAUGUAUGCAGUGAGCAUGUCUCCUAGAGUCUAUGUGUCACUCAUCAUUGCUUCCUAUGCUGGUGGAAUUAUGCAUGCUAUUAUCCACACAGUAGCCACAUUCAGCCUGUCUUUCUGUCGUUCCAAUGAAGUCAGACAUAUAUUUUGUGAUAUACCUCCCCUGCUUGCUAUUUCCUGCUCUGAAACAUAUGUAAAUGAGCUGUUGCUCUUCUUCUUUGUGAGUUUCAUAGAACUAGUCACCAUCCUGAUUGUUCUGGUCUCCUAUGCUUUUAUCUUGCUGUCAAUUCUUAAGAUGAAUUCAGCUAAAGGGAGGAGGAAAGUGUUCUCUACAUGUGGAGCUCACCUCACUGCUGUGUCCAUUUUUUAUGGCACAAUCCUCUUCAUGUAUGUGAGACCUAGUUCAAACUAUUCCUUGGAACAUGAUAUGAUAGUGUCAACAUUUUACACCAUUGGGAUACCCAUGCUCAACCCCAUCAUCUACAGUCUGAGGAACAAAGAUGUAAAAGAGGCAAUGAGAAGAGUUUUGAGAAAAAAAUUUCAUAUUAAACAUUAAAUUAAAAAAAUAAACUAAUUUUUCAUUG